rnacentral:rRNA from 1 species
UUCUCUCUUGAAUGUAUCCUGAGUACGGCGGAACACGUGAAAUUCCGUCGGAAUCUGGGAGGACCAUCUCCCAAGGCUAAAUACUCCCUAGUGAUCGAUAGUGAACCAGUACCGUGAGGGAAAGGUGAAAAGCACCCCGGAAGGGGAGUGAAAGAGAUCCUGAAACCGUGUGCCUACAAAUAGUCAGAGCCCGUUAAUGGGUGAUGGCGUGCCUUUUGUAGAAUGAACCGGCGAGUUACGAUCCCGUGCGAGGUUAAGCUGAAGAGGCGGAGCCGCAGCGAAAGCGAGUCUGAAUAGGGCGUUUAGUACGUGGUCGUAGACCCGAAACCAGGUGAUCUACCCAUGUCCAGGGUGAAGUUCAGGUAACACUGAAUGGAGGCCCGAACCCACGCACGUUGAAAAGUGCGGGGAUGAGGUGUGGGUAGCGGAGAAAUUCCAAUCGAACCUGGAGAUAGCUGGUUCUCCCCGAAAUAGCUUUAGGGCUAGCCUUAAGUGUAAGAGUCUUGGAGGUAGAGCACUGAUUGAACUAGGGGUCCUCAUCGGAUUACCGAAUUCAGUCAAACUCCGAAUGCCAAUGACUUAUCCUUAGGAGUCAGACUGCGAGUGAUAAGAUCCGUAGUCAAGAGGGAAACAGCCCAGAUCGCCAGCUAAGGUCCCAAAGUGUGUAUUAAGUGGAAAAGGAUGUGGAGUUGCUUAGACAACUAGGAUGUUGGCUUAGAAGCAGCCACCAUUUAAAGAGUGCGUAAUAGCUCACUAGUCGAGUGACUCUGCGCCGAAAAUGUACCGGGGCUAAAUACACCACCGAAGCUGCGAAUUGAUACCAAUGGUAUCAGUGGUAGGGGAGCGUUCUAAGUGCAGUGAAGUCAGACCGGAAGGACUGGUGGAGCGCUUAGAAGUGAGAAUGCCGGUAUGAGUAGCGAAAGACGGGUGAGAAUCCCGUCCACCGAAUGCCUAAGGUUUCCUGAGGAAGGCUCGUCCGCUCAGGGUUAGUCAGGACCUAAGCCGAGGCCGACAGGCGUAGGCGAUGGACAACAGGUUGAUAUUCCUGUACCACCUCUUUAUCGUUUGAGCAAUGGAGGGACGCAGAAGGAUAGAAGAAGCGUGCGAUUGGUUGUGCACGUCCAAGCA